rnacentral:lncRNA from 1 species
CAGAAACGUGCUUUUAUUGGUGAGGGACAGUCAGGGUCUUUUCACUGAGCCGCAUCAUUUGGCUCCUUCACGUAAAAGAGGAGCAUAAUUUUGCUCACAAACGGCUCUUCAUUCAAAAACUUGAAUAUCGACCUAGAACCAUAAAAAAAAUGAUAAUCUCUAAUGUAAAGCCCAAAAGGUAGGCAACCAUUAUGUCAGAUCGUGAUAUGCACGUUCAAAUGCAGUUAUUAGAUCGCCUGCAAUUUUUUAUUUUUUUUAUUCACGACUUAAAAAUGAGCAUGGACCAGAGUGAUGUGCUCUCCCCACUAUUUAUGAUAUCUGCAUUGAGGAUUUACCAUCUUCAGAAAAUGAUUUUGUAACGUAUUUGCAGAUAAUGGUUGUUUUGAAGCUCAAAAUGCAGUAGGCCUACUAGGCUAGCAGUGUGUAAAUCAGGGUGUCAAACGAACGAACGUCUCUCACCGAUAUGAUUCGGUUCCCAACGUUCACCAAAAGGAGCCGUUCAAAAAGACCAGUUUGUUCGCGGACGACUCAUCAAUAGCUUUCAGCAGAGAGGUCCUACAAAAUCUUUCCAUGAAAAUAAGACCAUGAAGUGAGGAGUUUUUAGAUGGAGGUCAAUGAGGGUGUCGAAUUUGGUCAACAAAAAAUGUAAUUGCUCAUUUGCUAUGUGAGGCUUAUUUGAUCAAAUAGAAGUUUCGUAAUGGUAGGGUUGUUACGAAUGCACUAGCAAACACAAAAUAUAUAUAAACGCAACAUGUAAAGUGUUGGUUUCAUGAGCUGAAAUAAAAUAAAUAAAAGAUCCCAGAAAUGUUCCAUACGCACAAAAAGCUUCUCAAAUUUUGUGCACAAAUUUGUUUACAUCCUUGUUAGUGAGCAUUUCUCCUUUGCCAAGAUAAUCCAUCCACCUGACAGGUGUGGCAUAUCACGAAGCUGAUUAAACAGCAUGAUCAUUGGCAUUUCGGUUACUUAAAAAAAAAAAAAAACAUUAUAUAUUGUUUCCACACGUAUCUGCCCUGUCAUUGGCUAGAAUGGCCCCCCUGUCUAACCUCCUCUCGCUUGCCUUCCAUCUUUGAGGACAUUUAUUUCCAUUGUUAGAGCUGUCACUCGACAUUCUCAACAAUAUAAUAGAUAGUCUUUGCUUUCAGUCAGAAAAGGGCUUUCACCACCCUGACCAAUGACUGUAUAUGAAUGGACAAAGCCAUCGAUCACGUGACACCAUUCAUAGCUACGUGAAGAGCACUGAAGCCAAAUUAAGUCAGUUAAGAUGGCAUCUCAUGGAGACCUAACGUGCUGUUUGAGCUACUCCAGGAAGUGAAGUUGCAGGCUAGCUCAAUGCUUCCCCCUGUCCAUUGACCACGUGUCCAUGCACACCAAUAUCCGUUAUUAUUCGGGAUACUCAAGUAUUCUAUUUUUGAGUUGACGCAUAUAAACGUCAUAUCCCGUUUACAAUAACCUGAUUAAGCUUGUAAUCCUGCGUAUGUGAAACCAGGAUAAGAUGCCUGGGAUAUGCAUAUUUUAGAUGGGAUACUGGGGCAUGUAAACAUCUUAUCUUGUUUACUGUUGUUUUCUUGCGGCCUGCACAGGCUCAGUUGCACAUAUCAUAUGUGUUGUACAGUCUGUGGUGUUUUGUAAUGAUGUUUUCAUCUGAUUGUCAAACAAAUCACUUCAAAAAGUAGGCUACCUGCGCAGUUCGAUCUACCAUAAUAAUUCAAUAACAAUUUAUUUUGCUGAUACUCCGUACUGAACCACAUAACAUAGUGGGUACUUUCACUCCUAAUUUAGACACGUUUCUCCUUAUAAUUUCCAACAUUUGGUAGGCCAUAUACUUUUGGACAUUUGGUAGGCCAUUUGUCAACUAUAGUUAGAAACAUGCAACUACUCUUCUGUCAUAAAUCGUUGACCUAGAAGACUAAAUAAACUAGUGCUUACCAGAAUAAUGUCUUAUAUCAAUAGUUAACACUGGUAAAGUUGUCUGUUUCGUUUGGAGACCGGGAUAAAAUGCAAUAGCUCCAAAACAGUGGAAGGAUUGUUCAUGUGCAAAAUGUCCAAUGUCAUCAGUUUGACCAGUGUUAAGGAAAUUAAAAGCUGAGAAAACGAUUAAACACGUUUAUAAGACUUCAGUUCAUCUUGGGCGCAUAUUUUAUGUGGUUGAACUAGUCCGCUUGCAUAACGGUGUCAAAGAUAACACAUUACACACGCCUUCGCGUUUUCUCAAGAGAUGCUGAAAGAAAGAAAUCAUAUUUCUCCACUCCUGUUCCCGAGACAAAAUUAACAUUUGUUGUAUGAUUUUACUCCAGGAAAUGUAUAAUUCUGCAGGAGUUAAUAUUAAAUUACAUGUGAGAGGUUAUAGGCCUACAGUGAAUGUCCAUAUUUCAGUUACUAUUCCAUUUAACCCAUAUGAACUUCAACCAGGAAUAUUCUGUUUAUUCAUGGAUACAGGGAUACUCCUGAAUGGGAUAUCAAAGGUGCAUGUAAACAGCUUAUCCCGAAUAAGACCUUAAGUGGGAUACAGCUGCCAACUCUCACGCAUUGUCCGUGAGACACACGCAUCCAGUUCUCACGCUCACACACCACACCUCUUAUAUCUCACGCAUCUAAAAGCACUGGUUUUAUUUUACUGAUUAAUCCAGUGUAUAUUCAGUGCGUUAACGUUUUAUGUUCUCCAAAUCAUUUUGAAAUCGAAGCAUCUGCACCUAGGGGCGGAGCCAGAGGGGUGUCCGGGGUGGCACUGGACACCCCUGACAUCUGAUUGGCCACCCGGGUGCCACCCCAACAUUUUAUUCGCUACUGACAGUUUGAUGCUGAUUGCCAUCCCAUUUCACCUCUUGUUGAAAGAAGCACUUAUUUUGACAUUCGGCGGUGCAUUUUUAUAAUCGAGGAAGAGAGAAUAUUCGUUGGUUGCGAGAUACAGAAGAAUAAGAAGAACAUACAGAAGAAGAAGAGAGAAUAUUUCCACAGCUCCAUGAGCUCUUUUCACGCUUGGCGAAAGCAUGAUAUAGUGAAGUAAGUUUUAAGGUUUAGCAUCGGGUUUAGGUUUCCCGAACAACUUUUACGAAAGUUGAGUUGCUGUGUAAGUUAACGUUAGACCUUUGGCUCCAUUAACAGACAGUUAAUCAGAUAAGAGAGAUCGGUUCCCAAUUUAGCCUAACAUUAUGUUUAAAUCUGUGCUAGUAAUACACGCAUAUACAGUGCAGUGUCGUAAGUUACAGUAUACGAAUGUUUAGCUAAUGUGGGGUAACCAGUAGGCUACAGCUGUCAGUGUUCAGCAAUUUGAAAUCCAUUAACUCAGUUAGAUUUUCGUACUGGAACUCAAUACAAACAAUUGUUAUUAUCAAUCUGUUAACGUUACUCAAAAUAUUACCACAAUUAAACAUGAAAAGAAAGGGAGAGAUAUCAGACUUAUUUUUAAAGAAGCACAAACAGGCAGAUAAGGUGCAAACAGACCCCAGCCCUUGGAUCACCACCGGACUCCAGAGCAGCUCCUUACAUGAGGCUAGUCAGAGUCAGUGUGGUCAGACUUCACAAGGACCCAGUCUACCACCACCAGAUGUAUCAAGGGAUGACACAGAGACCUCUGGUUCUGAGCAAGACAGUGAGCCAGAGCUGCCAGGAGAUGUCAUCGAGCCCCCCCAACUGCAUCAAGCACCAGAUAUGCUGUUCCAAAAGGACCCAAUGACAUUUCAAGAUCCAGAGAAGAAGGUCCUGUACAGCUGUGUUUGAAAAUAUUUCCCAGUACUCAGCUUGGUACUAGGAAAAGGGCUUUCAACAGCUCCUGGUAUAAGGACAAUUCAUGACUUGAAUAUUCUGUAAAUCAAGAUUUGACUUAUUGUUUGCCUGUAGGCAUUUUUCUCUGCCCAAUACACCUGAAUCUGCCUUCACAUCACAGUCAGGUUUUUGUAACUGGAAAAAAGGCGCUGUUUAAAGAUUCUGGGUUUAAGCUCUAUUCCAAGGCAGAGCAUCAUAUCAAUGCUAUGUAUGCUUGGAAUCAGCAUAAAAGGGCUAUUGACAGCAACUCAUCAAUGUUAGAUGUCAUAAAUGAGGACCGGAAAAGAAAGUGGAGGAAAACUGUACUUACAUUAAAACAAUUGCAGAUGUGCUCCUAUUAACUGCCACUGAAAAUAUAGCACAGAGGUCAUCGAGAGUCUGAUGACUCUCACAACAAGGGUCAUUUUUGGACAAUCUUAGAAGAAAUAGCAAAGCAUGACACUCUCAUAGAGAAAAGGAUGAAUGCAUGUGGAAAUGCUAAGUACACAAGCCACCAAAUCCAGAACGAAGUUCUUGAGGGCUUAGCUGAGAUGGUACAAAGUGAAAUAAUAAGAGAAGUAAAAGAAAGUGAAGUUUUUCAUGUAAUUGCAGAUGAAACCAAAGAUUUAAAGAAAAAAUAACAAAAGUCUUUAGUUGUGAGGUACUAUGACAACGGGGCCAUCCACAAAAGCUUUUUACACUUUCAGUCAGCUAAAAGCUUAGAUGCAGCAGGUCUCACAAAAAUUAUAAUUGAUUGCCUUGAAAAACAUGUUCUGGACUACAGAAAUAAUCUUGUGGGGCAAGGCUAUGACGGUGCAUCCGUCAUGAGCGGAAAGCAUUCUGGUGUGUCUGCAUGGAUUAAAAACAGUGCAAGAUUUGCAUUUUAUGUGCACUGUAAUGCACAUUGUUUGAAUUUGGUUCUUGUCGAUGCUGUAAAAUCAGUGCCUGAGGCAGUUCUGAGAGUGCUACAGGAUAUCACACUUGAAAAUAGUGGUGAUAGAUCAGUUAUAUUUACAUUUCAUAGGGCUUUUGGUUACCUUUUGUAAAGUGCUUGGUGAUACCAAAUGUCUUUCGGACAUGCUCCAGUCAAGCUCUCUUGACCUAGCAAGGGCUGUGGAUCUAGUAGGUGCCCUUACAGACACAUUACAGGACUUCAGAAGUGAGGGUUACUUUGGAGAACUAUGGACAGAGGUUGAAGAGAUUUCAGAGCACUGCAAAAUAAGUGUACAAACAGUGUGUAAAAGACAGCCUAAAACAAGCUUAAGAUUUCACGACUCAUUGAUGAUGAGCACUGUAGGACAGAAAAUUUGUGAUCAAAGUGAUGGUGAGAGCUUCCAAAGAGAUAUCUUUUAUCAGGUGCUUGACAGUCUCACAGCUGAGCUGCAGAGGCGUUUUUCAAAGAAGAAUUGUGUGAUAAUGCAAGGGGUCCAGUCUCUCAACCCAAAGAGUACAACAUUCUUGAAUGAGGAGCCUCUAUUUGCCUUUGCUCAGACCUUUGAGUCAGAUUUAGAGGACCUCAAACAUGAGGUUCACCAAACCAAGUGGCUUCUUGAUAGGCAUCUUGAUAGGAGAGAGAAAAGUGGAAGGGACAGACCGUCUACUCUACUUGAAAGAGGUCUUUCAUGAGCUAUUUCGACUUAAGAUUUCUGUUGUUACACCAGUCAGUAGUGCUUCUUGCGAGAGAAGCUUCUCAGCUUUAAAACUGAUUAAAACCCACCUCAGGACAACAAUGGUUGAUGACAGGUUAAAUCACCUCGGAAUUCUCAGUGUUGAGUCAAGGAGGGUACGCUCCCUCAACAUGGAUGAGUUUGUGAAACAUUUUGCCAGUUCUCAACAGAACCGCAGAAUUAUGCUGUUUUAAAUAUACCUAGGAAAAUUUGGUACUUAGGCAGUCCCUCUGGUCAGGAUUAAAACCUGCACUGUGUAUUAGCUAGUAUACUGACAUUCUAAAAUGGUCAAUCCAAGGCGUAUCAUGUCACACAGAUUUAAUUUGGUCUUGAUUAGGCCAAUUCCAAAACUUUUCUUUGUUAUUAGUUAACAUAGUAUAUAUGUGCAUAAAUAUGAUACUGUACAUUUGUAAUAUUGAUGGGCAACAAAAUUAUUUUAAUUUUUCAAGUCCAUUUCUUGAUACCUGGUAUGUCAAAUUGCAGUGUGUUUUUUUGUAAAUUUACAUUUUUGUAAAUAAACUAUGCAAUUUAUGUAACACACAAAUGCUGUCUUAU